rnacentral:rRNA from 1 species
GAUGAACGCUGGCGGCGUGCCUACUACAUGCAAGUCGAACGACGCGGGGACGGGUGAGUAACACGUGGAUAACCUCCUAUAAGACUGGGAUAACUUCGGUUAACCGGAGCUAAACCGGAUAUUUCUAGAUGGCUCCGCGCUGCAUUAGCUAGUUGGUAAGGUAACGGCUUACCAAGGCAACGAUGCAUAGCCGACCUCAGAGGGUGAUCGGACAAACGGGAACUGAGACACGGUCCAGACUCCUACGGCAGGCAGCAGUAGGGAAUCUCCCUCAAUGGGCCAAAGCCUGACUGAGCAACGCCGCGUGAGUGAUGAAGGUCGUCGGAUCGUAAAACUCUGCUCUUAGGGAAGCGGUACCUAAUCAGAAAGCCACGGCUAACUACGUGCCAGCAGCCGCGGUAAUAC